AUGUUUCCGAAUACACCUCCCUCUGUGCCCAGUAUUCCCACUCCUCGUCCUGCUGCUGCAGAUCCGACGUCGUACUCUCCUACGGUUUCUUCUCCUCCCUCAUCACAUGACUCUCCACCUUCAUCACCGAUACCUUCCUCUUAUCCACCUUCUUCACCGAUACAUUCCCCGUCUCCACCUUCAGUGAUUCCACAUCUUCCCUCCUUUCCUUUCCAUUAUACUCAUCGUCCACGUGUUGUGGAUAAGUCUACUGAUGUGACCUCUACUUUUGGUGUGUCGUCCUCCUCUCAGUCGAGUUAUGGUCUCCGUUCUCGGCCUUGUCCGCCCCCUGACCGAUAUUCUCCUUCUCACUAUGGUCUUUCGAUCGCUCUUGAGCCGACUUCUAAUCGAGAUGUUGUUGUUCACCCUGAAUGGCAGUUUGCAAUGGCAGAGGAGAUUGCCGCCCUUGAGCGCAACGGCACAUGGGAUCUGGUUUCUCUUCCUCCCCGUGUUCGUCUCAUCACUUGUAAGUGGGUCUAUAAGAUCAAGACUCGCUCUGAUGGUUCUCUUGAGCGUUAUAAAGCUCGUCUUGUGGCUCGUGGCUUUCAGCAGGAGCAUGGACAUGGUUAUGAUGAAACUUUUGCUCAUGUGGCCCAUAUGACCACUGUCCGCACACUUCUCGCUAUGGCCUCUGUUCGCCACUGGUCCGUCUCUCAGCUUGAUGUUAAGAAUGCCUUUCUUAAUGGUGAGUUGCGUGAGGAGGUUUAUAUGCAGCCACCACCUCGGUAUUCAGUUUCUGAUGGUAUGGUUUGUCGUCUUCGUCGCUCUCUCUAUGGCCUUAAGCAAGGCCCCCGAGCGUUGUUUGUCCACCUUUUUGCUCGUGGCCGCACUCUUCUUCUUUUAUAUGUUGAUGACAUGAUCAUCACUGGCGACGAUUCUGAGUACAUUGCCUUUGUCAAGGCCCGUCUUAGUGAGCAGUUCCUUAUGUUUGGUCUUGGUCCUCUUCGUUACUUUCUCGGGAUUGAAGUUUCCUCCAACUCUGAUGGCUUUUUUUAUUUCCCAAGAAAAGUAUAUCCAGGAUCUUCUUGCUCGUGCGGCUCUUAG
rnacentral:rRNA from 1 species